UGACUACACGAAGAACUUACCAGGGUUUGACAUGUUAGUUGUAGGGAACUGAAAGGACGACCUUCGGGAGCUAGCACAGGUGCUGCAUGGCUGUCGUCAGCUCGUGUCGUGAGAUGUUCCGGUUAAGUCCGCUAACGAGCGCAACCCUCGCCGUGUGUUAUAAGUGUCACGCGGGACCGCCGGUCUUAAGCCGGAGGAAGGUGGGGAUGACGUCAAGUCAGCAUGGCCUUUAUGUCCUGGGCUACACACACGCUACAAUGGCCAGUACAAUUGGUAGCGAAGUCGCGAGGCGGAGCCAAUCCGUAAAGCAGGCCUCAGUUCAGAUUGCAGUCUGCAACUCGACUGCAUGAAGCCGGAGUUGCUAGUAACCGCAGGUCAGCAAUACUGCGGUGAAUACGUUCCCGGGUCUU
rnacentral:rRNA from 1 species